CAGUAGCCGCGGGAAUACAGAGGGUGCGAGCGUUAAUCGGAUUUACUGGGCGUAAAGCGUGCGUAGGCGGCUUCUUAAGUCGGAUGUGAAAUCCCUGAGCUUAACUUGGGAAUUGCAUUCGAUACUGGUUAGCUAGAGUGUGGGAGAGGAUGGUAGAAUUCCAGGUGUAGCGGUGAAAUGCGUAGAGAUCUGGAGGAAUACCGAUGGCGAAGGCAGCCAUCUGGCCUAACACUGACGCUGAGGUACGAAAGCAUGGGGAGCAAACAGGAUUAGAUACCCCCGUAGUCCCUGUCUCUUAUAC
rnacentral:rRNA from 1 species